rnacentral:rRNA from 1 species
UGGGGAAUAUUGGACAAUGGGCGAAAGCCUGAUCCAGCCAUGCCGCGUGUGUGAAGAAGGCCUUUUGGUUGUAAAGCACUUUAAGUGGGGAGGAAAAGCUUAUGGUUAAUACCCAUAAGCCCUGACGUUACCCACAGAAUAAGCACCGGCUAACUCUGUGCCAGCAGCCGCGGUAAUACAGAGGGUGCAAGCGUUAAUUGGAAUUACUGGGGGGAAAGAGCGCGGUAGGUGGUUAUUUAAGUCAGAUGUGAAAGCCCCGGGCUUAACCUGGGAACUGCAUCUGAUACUGGAUAACUAGAGUAGGUGAGAGGGGAGUAGAAUUCCAGGUGUAGCGGUGAAAUGCGUAGAGAUCUGGAGGAAUACCGAUGGCGAAGGCAGCUCCCUGGCAUCAUACUGACACUGAGGUGCGAAAGCGUGGGUAGCAAACAGGAUUAGAUACCCUGGUAGUCCACGCCGUAAACGAUGUCUACCAGUCGUUGGGUCUUUUAAAGACUUAGUGACGCAGUUAACGCAAUAAGUAGACCGCCUGGGGAGUACGGCCGCAAGGUUA